UGAUUUUUAUAGGAUGAAGGGACAGGACGCAGCUGCCUGCCAGCAGGUGGCACAGCAGGAUCACACCCAAGGUCCUCCUGCAGCAUCAGCAACGGGAGCGGCUCCUGAGGAACCUCGAGCAGCGAGCCGGAGAGAGUUGUGCUGGGCCUCGGUUUGCCGCCCUCCAUCCCGGUGAGGAAAUGCAGGAACCGCAGCCAAUGGGAGCUGCGGGACAGCGCCUGUGGUCAGUGGCAGCAUGCAGAGCCCUGUAGCUGCCCCUCCACCGAGGAACUGGAGGGACAUGCCGGGAGCCGUCUGAGGUGUAAAGUUAGUUAAAAACAGAAAGGCAAAGAUGACAGAAACCAAGACACAACACAGAUUGGAGUGAGCCAGACUGGAGGCAGUGAAAGAGGCAGAAAAAGCCCUAGAAGCUGCCCACAGGAGAGAAAUGGAGGCAAAGGACAAGGAAAUGGAGGCAGCGAAAAAACCAAGAGGCUGCCCUCAGGAGAGCUAUGGAGGCAAGGGCCAAAGAACUGGAGGAGAAGGAAAAAGAGAGGAAGCAUGCACUGGAGAUGGAGAAGGCAAAGGCUCCACAGAAUAUACCAACAAACCCUAGCAAUUCUUCUCCAGGUACCCCUUCCCAUCCCAGAAAGUUCCCCACCUACAAGGCAGGCGAUGAUACCAAGGCCUUCUCAGAAAACUUCGAAAGGGCCUGCCUUGGGUACAGCAUCCCUACAGACCAAUACAUGGUAGAGCUGAGGCCACAGCUCAGUGGACCCUUAGCAGAGGUGGCAGCUGAAAUGCCUAAGGAACAAAUGAACCAAUAUGAACUGUUUAAAACUAAGGCGAGAGUCAGAAUGGGGCUAACACACGAGCAUUCCCGUCGGCAGUUCAGAGCCCUAAGGUGGAAACCAGAUGUCAUUUACCCGACGCACCGACCAUAUUGUGAAACAUUGGGAUGCCUGGAUAUCAGGAGCAAGUGUUAAAUCUGCAGAAGAUUUGCCCUUCCCAAUGCAAAUGGAACACUUCUUAGAGGGUGUUCCUGAGGAAAUAGAAAAAUACAUCCUAGAUGGGAAGCCCAAAACUGUAAUCGAGGCGGGGGAGAUUGGAGUCAAAUGGGUGGAGGUGGCAGAAAAGAAAAAAACUGGUCGCAGUUGGAGCAGAUACCAGAAGGGACAACCUCAGACCACACCCUACUACCGGGGGCAGCCCAAGGCCCCACCUACUGCCCAAGGAACUCUCCAGCCACCUUAUCGUCCCGCCAUACCACCUCACCCCAGUGACCCAUCCGCUGGACGAUGUUUUAAAUGUAACGAGCCGGGGCAUGUAAAGGUCAACUGCCCCAAGAACCCCAACAGAUUACAGUUCAUUGCACCGGAAUCACACCAGAGGUCCUCAGUCCCAGAUGCCUCCCAGAUACCUUCAGAGCGGAGGGAAACUGAGUGUGGGUGGGAAGAAGGUCACCGCGUGGAGGGACACCGGAGCACAAGUGUCAGCUAUCCAUGCUUCCUUAGUGGACCCAAAUUUAAUCGACCCAGAGAUCCAAGUGACGAUUCAACCCUUCAAGUCCAACUCUUUCAGUUUGCCUACAGCCAAGUUGCCUGUCCAGUACAAGGGCUGGUCAGGAAUGUGGACUUUUGCAGUCUAUUAUGAUUAUCCCAUCCCCAUGCUGUUGGGGGAAGACUUGGCCAGUCAUGUGAAGCAGGCCAAGAGGGUGGGAACGGUCACCCGCAGCCAGACUAAACAAGCCGUGAGGCCUAGCUCUGUUCCGGAAACUUCUAUCAGGACCCGGUCAGAGGUGAUGGACCCGGACCCCAGGCCAAUGUCUGCAACAGCAGUAGUGGAUCCAGUCCCAGAGACCCAGACGGAACCAGUCCUAGAACCGGAACCAGCGGAACAACCAACACCAGACCCAGUGUCAGCACCGAACCCAGUACUUGCAACCCCAACACCAGAGGGCCCCACCAAACCUGAACCGGCAGCAGCCCAUAACCCUACACAAGAGGCUCAGCCGGAGCCUGAACCCCAACAUAGUGCCCCAGCGGAGAGCGGUUCACAGUCAAUGGAAACAGCCCCAUCCCCUACAUCUCUUCCAGAGGGACCAAGCAUAGAUCCACAAUCCAAUGAGGAACUGAUGUUCCCUUGAUGCUGGAGACAGUUCCAGACUGAACAGGAAGCAGAUGAAAGCCUCCAGAGAGCUUGGACAGCGGCACAGAGCAACCCACCGCCUCUCAGCACUUCUAAUUGUUCCAAGUUUGUUGUAGAAAGAAGACUUUUAUACAAGGAAACUCUUUCUGGUGGACACCCGGAAGACUGGCAUCCUCAGAGACAGUUAGUAGUUCCAACUAAGUACCGGGCCAAGCUCUUGAGCUUAGCCCACGAUCAUCCUAGUGGCCAUGCUGGGGUGAACAGGACCAAAGACUGGUUGGGGAGGUCAUUCCACUGGGAGGGAAUGGGCAAGGAUGUUUCUACCUACGUCUGGUCUUUUGAGGUAUGCCAAAAAGUGGGGAAAACCUCAAGACCAGGUCAAAGCCCCUCUCCAGCCACUCCCCAUCAUUGAGGUUCCAUUUUAGUGUGUAGCUGUGGAUAUUCUGGGUCCUCUUGCAAAAAAGACACCCACAGGAAAGCAGUACAUACUGACUUUCAUGGAUUUUGCCACCCGAUGGCCAAAAGCAGUAGCUCUAAGCAACACCAGGGCUAAAAGUGUGUGUCAGGCACUAGCAGACAUUUUUGCCAGGGUAGGUUGGCCCUCCGUCAUCCUCACAGAUGCAGGGACUAAUUUCCUGGCAGGAACUGUGGAAAACCUUUGGGAAGCUCAUGGGGUAAAUCACUUGGUUGCCACUCCUUACCACCAUCAAACAAAUGGCAUGGUGGAGAAGUUUAAUGGGACUUUGGGGGCCAUGAUACGUAAAUUCGUAAAUGAGCACUCCAAUGAUUGGGACCUAGUGUUGCAGCAGUUGCUCUUUGCCUACAGAGCUGUACCACAUCCCAGUUUAGGGUUUUCCCCAUUUGAACUUGUAUAUGGCCGUGAGGUUAAGGGGCCAUUGCAGUUGGUGAAGCAGCAAUGGGAGGGGGUUACACCUUCUCCAGGAACUAACAUUCUGGCCUUUGUAACCAACCUACAAAACACCCUCCGAACCUCUCUAGCCCUUGCUAAAGAACCUACAGGAUGCUCAAAAAGAGCAAAAAGCCUGGUAUGAUAAACAUGCCAGAGAGCGUUCCUUCAAAGUAGGAAACCAGGUCAUGGUCUUAAAGGCGCUCCAGGCCCAUAAAACAGAAGCGUCGUGGGAAGGGCCAGGAGCGCCUGGGAGCUGUUAAUUAUCUCAUAGCAUUCCCCACCUCCAACCGAAAGCCUAAGGUGCACCAUAUUAAUUCUCUAAAGCCCUUUUAUUCCAGAGAAUUAAAGGUUUGUCAGUUUACAGCCCAGGGAGGAGAGGACACUGAGUGGCCUGAAGGUGUCUACUACGAAGGGAAAUGUGCCGGUGGUGUGGAAGAGGUGAACCUCUCCAUGACCCUUGGGCGUAUGCAGCGACAGCAGAUCCAGGAGCUGUGCACUAGCUACGUGCCGACGUUCUCAGCCACCCCAGGACUGGCUGAACGGGCAUACCACUCCCUUGACACAGAGCUCCAGGAAGAAAUCACAGCCAUCGUUUCACCCUAUCUGUGAUUUGGGGGGGCAUGUCAUAAAUACAAAGGGAAGGGUAACCACCUUUGAAAUCCCUCCUGGCCAGAGGAAAAACCCUUUCACCUGUAAAGGAUUAAGAAGCUAGGAUAACCUUGCUGACAUCUGACCACAAUGACCAAUGAGGAGACAAGAUACUUUCAAAAGCUGGCGGGAGGGAGAAACAAAGCCUCUCUCUCGGUCUGUGUGAUGCUUUUCCUGGGGACAGAACAGGAAUGGAGUCUUAGAACUUAAUAAGUAAUCUAACUAGAGAUGUGUUAGAUUCUGUUUUCUUUAAAUGGCUGAGAAAAUAAGCUGUGUUUGUGUCUUUUUGUAAAUUAAAGUUUUCCCUAGAGGGAUUCUCUAUGUUUUGAAUCUAAUUACCCUGUAAGGUAUUUACCAUCCUGAUUUUACAGAGGUGAUUCUUUU